UCGUGCUAGACGGGGAGCUAGCGGUGCCCUGAAACCUGAUGCGAAUCAGGAUGACCCGAAAACCGCUUAUGCGGGGUCGAAUACUUCGAUUGAGCAGGGGCGUUCAGGGGCGACAGCAGGGAAUGGAGUGCGCUGACGAUCGGGUCUUGCGAUAGUACCGUCUACAAACCCCGUCAGGUCCGGAAGGAAGCAGCGGUAAGUAGAAAGGGCUAGUCACAAGGGAGCCUGAUCCGAGUUCUUCGCCAUGCUGUUCCUGAGUGUUUCCGGCGAAGCGAGUUGCACGA
rnacentral:SRP_RNA from 1 species